ensembl:lncRNA ETS2-AS1 ETS2 antisense RNA 1
GGGGGUCUUCUCUCUUGGCUUUGGAGCUCCCCAUUCCUCUGUGUCUGUAACAGGGGAGCUUCUUCCUUCUUUCUUCUCCCUUCUUUCUUGCCUGUUAAACUCUCUGCUUCUUAAAACCACUCCAUGUAUGUCCAGGUCAUUUUAUCUAAUUUGGAGACGGAGAACCCUGGUGUUCCUCUGCUCAUCAGAGCCGUCUCACCUGCAAGGGCCAGGAUCCAGCACUAGGGCUGCCCUUUAUGUUCAUGCAGCCUCCACUAGGAAGAUCCUCCUUAGCUGCCACCUGCUGUAAAGGGAUCUAUCUAUCUAUCUGUCUAUCUAUCUAUCUAUCUAUCUUUCUAUCUACCUGUCGAGAGAGAGAGAGGUUUAUUAUAAGGAAUUGACUCAUGUGAUUAUGGAGGCUGAGAAGUUCCACAGUCUGCUGUCUGCAAGCUGGAGACCCAGGAAGGCUGCUGGUGCCGUUCCAGUUUGAUUCUGAAGGCCUGAGAACCAGAACUGAUGCCCACUCAACAUGAAGAUGACAAGGAUGAAGACCUUUAUGAUGAUCCAUUCCCACUUACUGAAUAUGUUACUUCGUAUUAGAGAGAAUGUUUUUAUUCUCAGGCGAUAGAUGCAAAAAUAUUUAAAGUGCAGCUCACUUUCAAACGGUUCAGCCAAAUGUCGAUGAUUUUUGAAUCUAAGUGAUGUUUUACAGACAUAACGUUAAGCAGAAGAAAGCAGAUCUCAAGGAGCCCACAUUGUACAAUUCCGAUCUAUAUGAAGCUCAAUAACACAUGGUACUAGAAGUUGUAAUAGCAGUUACCUGUAGGACUGGAGGUUUGUAUUGAAAGAGAAGGAACAUCAGGAAGUCUGCUGGAGCCUGGAAAUGUCUGAGAUGUUGCUCUGGGAGGCAGUUGCAUGGCUGUAGACAUAUGUAAGACAUUAUUGGAUGGUAUACCUGAGAUUGGAGCACCUACAAUAGAAGGUACAGUGUUACAUCUCAGUGAAAAAGAGAAAAUAUUAAAGAAGAAAAAGACUGUGGAUCAUUUUGGACUUGAACCUUAUGCAGUAGUGGGUACUACAGAGUCAUGUCUCAACUACAAUUCAAACUGCAAUACCUUUUAAGCUUUGUGUUGAAAAGAAUGAAUAUUUGGGAAUGUAAUUCUGUGUUUGUGAUAAAGUCCUCCAUAAUAACUGAUUCAAAGCAAAGGAGACUACAGUUUCCCCUGGUGCCCUGCCCCUGUCUCUGAUUGGUGCAUGUUUGUUGGGACAUCUACCAGAGGGGAUUAAUGCCCCAGGCUAAUGCCACUCCCUGUGCCCAACUCAUAUCAGGUGGCUGGGGGGCAGGCAAUCCAGAGCCUUCUUGCUUCCCCAGUGAGGGAUGGACAGCCCAGGAAGUGCCCUCCAAAGGGCCGGCCUGUCCCAUGGAUUGUCCAGGAGGAGGACAACACAAAGGCGAGGUUGUUUCUCGGUGAGCCCAUGCCUGGCCUUGCAGAGCAAAUACUGGGGAUCAUGCAUCACGCCUCCAACAGGCAAGUGGCCCCACGCCCAUAAGCCACAGGAUGCCAGGGAUGUGGGAUUGGAGCUGCCCUGUGGGUUUUCUCAACGAAGUAAAUACCUCCGAAGAAAUUUGGGUCCUCUACCGCUCUCAGUCAGUUGCUUCCUGACUGGUCCACAUGUGCUGGGAUUCUGGGUUCAACUGGAUCAUACCAUCGUGGAGGGCUGGAGCCACAUCAGAAAUGUCCCUGUAGCUCCUGCCUCCACAACUACAGGCCUGUAACGCUGCUCGCCCUAAGUGGUCAGUUAACACAGUGCAUGGAUGGUCUGGUCCACGAAUGCCUUUUCCGGGCGUGUUUGACUUACAGCCAUCUCUGUUCUCACUACGAAGACAGGAGAGGAGCUUCAUAGAGGUGAAGUCAGUGGAAGAUGCUCCAACCCUCCUUUGAACACACCUGCAACAAGGAAACCUAUCUGAUUUCCCCAGCUUUCCUCCCUCCUGUCUUGUGGCAGAGCAGUGCCUCCCUGCAGCUGACUUAGAGCAAACCAAACACAAUUGGACCUGUUUUCACCGAGCAACUUGCAGUGUUUUGCCCAGAUUCCAGCAGUGAACUCAAUAUCAUUGGAUGGGUUCAUAAUGCAUGCAUUUGUUCAUACCAGGGAAUUCCCUGGAAGGUUACUUGUAAAAUAAAUAUCUUGUAAAACGGGGGAA